rnacentral:rRNA from 1 species
UAAGGAAUAUUGCUCAAUGGGAGAAAUCCUGAAGCAGCAACGCCGCGUGGAGGAUGAAGGGUCUAUGACUUGUAAACUCCUGUAAAGAAGGAAAAAAUUCCCAUGUGAUGGGAGAUGAUGGUACUUCUGGAGUAAGCCCCGGCUAACUACGUGCCAGCAGCCGCGGUAAUACGUAGGGGGCAAGCGUUGUCCGGAUUUACUGGGUGUAAAGGGUGCUCAGGCGGAUUUGUAAGUCAGAGGUGAAAUCUUACAGCUUAACUGUGAAACUGCCUUUGAUACUGCAAGCCUAGAGUAUGGAAGAGAGUGAUGGAAUAUCUGGUGUAGCAGUGAAAUGCGUAGAUAUCAGAUAGACCACCAAUGGCGAAGGCAGUCACUUGGUCCAUUACUGACGCUAAAGCACGAAAGCGUGGGUAGCAAACA